rnacentral:rRNA from 1 species
GGCGGACGGGUGAGUAACGCGUGGGCAACCUGCCCCAUACAGAGGGAUAGCCACUGGAAACGGUGAUUAAUACCUCAUAAGACCACAGUAUCGCAUGGUACGGGGGUCAAAGAUUUAUCGGUAUGGGAUGGGCCCGCGUCUGAUUAGCUAGUUGGUAAGGUAAUGGCUUACCAAGGCGACGAUCAGUAGCCGACCUGAGAGGGCGGACGGCCACACUGGAACUGAGACACGGUCCAGACUCCUACGGGAGGCAGCAGUGGGGAAUAUUGCACAAUGGGCGCAAGCCUGAUGCAGCAACGCCGCGUGAGUGAUGAAGGCCUUCGGGUCGUAAAGCUCUGUCCUAUGGGAAGAAACAAAUGACGGUACCAUAGGAGGAAGCCCCGGCUAACUACGUGCCAGCAGCCGCGGUAAUACGUA